CACACGGCCACACCUGAAACUCCCCGUUCUCUUCGCUUUCCCCAUCUCGUAGAUCCCGAUCUCCUCCCUCUGGCUGCUCCUCCCAACGCCACACCGCCAUGGCCUCACGCCCAUCCCUCCGCUACAGUUGUCCACGGCGGCAUCGAGGGCAUCGAUGCAGCCAGCCAUAGAACGUCGAUAACCGCCGCUGCUUCUCAAAGGUCUCAGUUCUCUACUCCCCAAAUCCUACUCAUCUUCAUAUUGUUGUCUCCUUCAAGAUUGAUCUCCACUAUUGAAGGUCGCUGGUUUCCGCCGAUGCUGCCGUCCUGCAAGGGGUUCAAGAACGUGAAGAAGCUACAAGUUGGCUACCUCACGAUCGCAAGUUACUCUACUCCGGCAAGUAGUUCAAUCAUCAGUAAUUUGGUGUGUCAAGCCAUCUUCUAACUAAGAAGUAAUCAGUUCAGAGAACUAAGAAGCAAUCAGUUCAAAACCAUCUUCAAUAAUCAGCUCAGUUCAGAGAACUAAGAAGUAAUCAGUUCAGAGCCACCUUUAGUCAUCAGUAAUUUGGUGGGUGUGCGUGAGCUCAACCACAACUUUCCCUUCAAACAAAACAGAAGCCCUUGUUGAGAGAAAUCCCUCUUGCUACUGGUAGUCAUGCACUCAAUCACAAGGUUUGAAAAGAAGCUGGUCUAAUAUUUCUUCUUAUGUUUUUUUCCAACCCCGCUUUGUGGAAUCGGAACAUUUCCUUCAAAGAAAAAAGAAGCCCUUGUUACUGAGAGAAACUACUCUUGCUACUGGCAUUUAUGCGCUGAUGUAACAUUUGUUGUUACGUUUUUUGCAACCCCAGUUUGUGGAAUCUCCAUGAAGCGAGCCAUUAUGGUGUUGUUGUUUGUACUUCUUGUUGUAGCCCUGAGUUUUGGAAGGGCUGGGCCUGAUCGUUACUGUGGUCGUCAACACAAAGCUCAAAGUACAUGAAGAACUAGAUUUCUUAUAAGAAAGAGAAAUCAACAAGGUGCUUGGAAUUGGAAUGUUUUCAUUCCUUGAGUUUCGGUCAUUUUAAAGGCUCAUCUUCUGUUAAUCCCUACAAUUUGAGGAAUGAAGGGAAGGGAAGACGUGAGGAGAAAGCUCUACCUGCACAGGACACAAGAUCUGUGCCGGGAAUUCGGUUGUGCUUGUAUGUUACUGUAGAGCGACCAUUUCAUGGUGGAUGUUGAUGAUCUCAGAUUGAUUCGAUGCUGGAGCGAGCUGGUAUGAGCUUGCACUAAUGAUGUAUAAAAACAUUGAUCUGAUGGCAGGAAGAUCCAAGAUGAAGAGCCAAACAUUGCAUGCUUCGACAAACGAAACCUGCCCACGGAGGUGGUGGCGCCGGUGGUAGGCGGCAAUGAGGCAACAACGCUUCAUGAGGCGGUCAAGUCUGUGGUCGUGAGCCGAUGCAUCCAUCGACGCGGCAGUCGAGUCAACUUCAAGACUCCAUUAGUGAUAUUUGGUUGUGUUAAAGGAAAAAAUUAUUAGGAUAAUAGAAACUGUUGGGAUAAUUUAUUUGUAUAGUGGAUGAAGUUAUUUCAAGUAACAUAUCUUGAAAUGGCAGCAAAGAAGCCCGUAUUAUGUUAGCACAAAAUAUAUUUGGUAUUUGACCUUUUUUUAUGUUAGCAUGUAAUUAGUCAUGUACUCCUAUACUGAAGCUAAAUCAAGUAGGUAGUCUAAAGCUUGGUCAGUUAAAA